rnacentral:lncRNA from 1 species
CACACAUAUUAUUUAGUCUUGUGAAGAAUCUUGUGGAUACACAUACCAUCAAGAACAAACUUGAAGGAAAGGAUUAAGGAGCAUUCUUCAAAAGGCAUGAGGACAAUCAUCAAAAAGGAGGUUCAACAAUUCCACAUAUGGAUUCAGGUUAGCUUCCGCUCAUGUAGUUUAAUUCCGGAUUAUUCAAUAUGAAUGUUGUUAUAUUUAGUCGGAAUCAUAAUCCUAACAAUUAGUAUAAGAGCCACCCUUCAUUUUUGGAUAAUUUGGAUGUUCAUAAGAUUCAUGUUAUGUUAGGAUUCAUGUUUUAGUUUUAUCAUAAUUUUGUUUAUGAAAUUCUACC